GGGGGCGUGGCCUCCGCGCGCCCCGCCCCGCCCGCGCGCCCGUCCGCUCGCGGUCUGGUGAGGCGGCGGUGGCCAAUCGGAGGCGGGCGGCCCAUAUGACGUCAGCACACGCCACCGCCACCUCGCGCCCGGCGCUGGCUCGGGAGCGCGGACGGCCGGCGGGUGGACUGCGGGGCGGCGGGGCGGGUGGACGGCGGCGGGGCGGCGGGGAGCUGGGGGCCGGCGGGCCCGGAGGGGAGGGGAGGGGAGGGGGGGGAGGGGAGAGCGGGCGGCGGGUCCUCCCCGGACGUGGCGCACGGUGGCGUCCCCUGCUAACCGGCCUCUGCACCGCGCCGGCAGCAGGUGAUCGCGCUGCACCUGCCGCGUCACCUGACGCUGCCCCUGUUGUGCCCAAGACCGCGCAUCCGAGAAACCGCCGAGGAGCCGACGCCGCUGCAAAGCCUGACGGUCCCCACACCUGCUCCCUGGCCUAGGUGGGUGGAUGCCCCGCACGAAGCCCGGCGCGGAGAUGGAGCUGUCGGCGGGUGUGUGCUUCCCGGCGGCCUAGAGGGGUCCAGAAGCCCUUCUUAGACAUGAAAUCUUUGAUGAAAAUGCAGAUGAUGCACUUUUCAUUCAUGCAGUGACUUCUCCCACGUUCACGUUGCCUUUCCUUAUUUACGGAAAGCAAACCAUCACACGUACUGCAGAAAAACAGAAAAUGUAAACUCUUAUUAAACUUUACUCUUCAAAAGCAGAUUGCUUUACCUCGUUGAUGUGUAAUGUGUUUCGACCCUGUUUCCCACAUGUGUCACACCGUGCCCCGUGCUAAUCUCACAUCUUGUUGAGCAAGAUGGUAUUAAGAUGUUCCUCAACAGUAGCGGGGGAAGAGUCCGUGGUCUUCUGUAGUGUCCCCCAUCAGCAGAGAUUGAGAGGAAGUUGGGACUUAGAGCAGAUCCUCUGGUGGCUGAGAGACCCCGGGGGCUGAGGCAGCAUGAAAUCCCAUUGCACGUGGCAACUUCAGUAUCAGGGUUUGUGACUCGGUGCCAGAAGCUUUAAAAAAAUGGAGACAGCCUCCUGAGAUACUCAUAUUUUUCAAAGUUCCUUUUUUUUGUUGGGUGGGGAGAUGGGAGGGGAGGGUUCACAUGAUUUUUUCAAUGAUGAAACAGGAAACUUCAGGAAAAAGUAGUCUUACAGUGGCUGUGUUCCCACUCCGUGACUUUAAGGGGUGUUUCAUUAAAGUUUUGAGAAGCACAGCGUAAAGACACUUGCCAUCCAUUAAUUAGCUUGUUACUAUUGCAUCAGCGUCCAUGGUGGGUUUUCUGCUACUGCUAACUUAUAGGCCAGACACAGCCUGGUUAUGGUGUAAACACCCUACAGCCAGUCCAUCAUGCCAACCCAGUGUGAACGUAACCUACUAAUCUUUUCUACCUCCAUGAGAGCCUAAGUUUUUAACAAGUUUCUUCAUCAUGAACUAUGACAAAAGUGUUUUCAAACACUCCUGCAUAAUCAAGACUUAUAAUUUGCUAAUAAUGUCACUUGUUUGCAUUUCUUGGGCACGACCCAAAGUGGAAGUGGGUGGGAAGGAGGGGUUCCGUCCUCACGUCUCUCUGUGAGAAGGGCAGAAGCUGGCUUUCACACUCUGUGUAUCCCUCUCUAAACCCUGAUCACCACUAUAAACCUUGCUCCCAGAAGUUCAAAGCGCUCUUGACUUCAUGGCAUAGUGUCAUGUGGGUCUUGGCCAUUUUCUCCACGCAUCUACUGUAAGUGCACACCGUUGUAACAUUGGAACUUUGUAAAAGCAAAAACAUGAAAAGCUGCCCAACUGUUCACUGAUAGGAGAUCGUCUGGCUCAAUGACGGCACACGUAUCCAAGGGACGCUAUGUAAUCACGUCACUGCCGGCUCAGCCAUCAGCAGCCAGUGUUCUCUCUCCCUUCCCCUGCCAUCAGCCUGCAGUGUCAUAUGCAGGUGGAGAAGCACUUCUUUCAAUCAAGGUGUGAAUCUUGUGGACGUGGAUCUGCAUCAGCCUCGGCCCUGAAAUGUCGGCAUGUCAUGGACUCAAUCAGGAAAGACUAGUAAAUGCAGGGAGCUUCUCACCAGCUUUCAAAAACUGGUCCAUUCAGGUAUAUGAGGCCCAAGAGCAGGGGGGACUGCUCUUCACUUACCUGCCAAGCUGCUGUGUAGGUGGAUUCCUUACAGCACUGAAAUUAGCAUAUCUGUCUUCUGGGAUCUAAGAUGUGUUAGGUUUUCUUUAUGUUUUUUUCUCUUGCCAUUUUGCCUGGCCAUGCAGACUACUCCAGUGUCGCUUUUAAUGUAAUACCCUUAUGUACAAGUACAAACCUUAUGAAAAUACAUAUUUUUAAAAAGAUUUACUUAUCUAUUUGAGAGAGAGUGUGUGUGCAAGUGGUGCAGGGAGAGGGAGUGGGAGAGAGAAUCUCAAGCAGACUCCACUCUCAGGACCAAGCCCGAGGUGGGGCUGGAUCUCACGACCCUGAGAUCAUGACCUGAGCUGAAACUGAGAGUCGAACACUCAACUCACUGAGCAUCCCAGGCGCCCCUCAUGGGAAUAUUUUAUGGGUUUCUGUGUUGUCUGUCUCCUGUGUGGAAACGGACUCUCCAUUC
rnacentral:lncRNA from 1 species